CCUACGGGAGGCAGCAGUGAGGCAUAUUGGUCAAUGGACGAGAGUCUGAACCAGCCAAGUAGCGUGAAGGAUGACGGACCUAUGGUUUGUAAACCUCUUUUAUCUGGGAAUAAAGUGCUCCACGCGUCCCGCUUUGCAUGUACCUUAUGAAUAAGGAUCGGCUAACUCCGUGCCAGCAGCCGCGGUAAUACGGAGGAUCCGAGCGUUAUCCGGAUUUAUUGGGUUUAAAGGGUGAGUAGGUGGAUUGUUAAGUCAGUUGUGAAAGUUUGAGGCUCAACCGUAAAAUGGCAGUUGAAACUGGCAGUCUUGAGUACAGUAGAGGCGGGCGGAAUUCGUGGUGUAGCGGUGAAAUGCUUAGAUAUCACGAAGAACCCCGAUUGCGAAGGCAGCUUACUAGACCGCAACUGACGCUGAGGCACGAAAGUGUGGGUAUCAAACAGGAUUAGAUACCCGGGUAGUC
rnacentral:rRNA from 1 species